ACAUGCAAGUCGAACGGUUAGCACAGGAGAGCUUGCUCUCUGGGUGACGAGUGGCGGACGGGUGAGUAAUGCAUGGGGAGCUGCCCAAUCGAGGGGGAUACCAGCUGGAAACGGCUGCUAAUACCGCAUACGCCCUGAGGGGGAAAGGUGGGGACCUUCGGGCCUACCGCGAUUGGAUGCACCCAUGUGGGAUUAGCUAGUUGGUUAGGUAAAGGCUGACCAAGGCGACGAUCGGUAGCUGGUCUGAGAGGAUGAUCAGCCACACUGGAACUGAGACACGGUCCAGACUCCUACGGGAGGCAGCAGUGGGGAAUAUUGGACAAUGGGCGAAAGCCUGAUCCAGCCAUGCCGCGUGAGUGAAGAAGGCCUUCGGGUUGUAAAGCUCUUUCGGCUGGGAAGAAAUCGCACAGGCUAAUACUCUGUGUGGAUGACGGUACCAGCACAAGAAGCACCGGCUAACUACGUG
rnacentral:rRNA from 1 species